AAGACCUUACUUCAUAGGAUCAUUUCUAUAGUAAGUUCUUAACAAGACACACACUAAUGUAGAGCCUUGUACAGGUCACGUUGAUGAGUUGUGGCGCGGUGUCCUGAGCGUGAGACGGGCGGGGGCUUCAGGCCUCCAGUCCUCGAUGAUCGUUCACUUGGCCUCUCGGGGCCAGGCGUGGGAUACUGUCGCUUUCUGAGUGGC